GGAAGUUUAGUUUAACUGGUGAAAGCACUCCGUAGUAGUCGGAGAGAUGUAGGUUCAAGUCCUAUAAUUUCCA
rnacentral:tRNA from 1 species